rnacentral:rRNA from 1 species
CAGUCGCCGCGGUAAUACAGAGGGUGCGAGCGCUAAUCGGAUUUACUGGGCGUAAAGCGUGCGUAGGCGGCUUCUUAAGUCGGAUGUGAAAUCCCUGAGCUUAACUUAGGAAUUGCAUUCGAUACUGGGAAGCUAGAGUAUGGGAGAGGAUGGUAGAAUUCCAGGUGUAGCGGUGAAAUGCGUAGAGAUCUGGAGGAAUACCGAUGGCGAAGGCAGCCAUCUGGCCUAAUACUGACGCUGAGGUACGAAAGCAUGGGGAGCAAACAGGAUUAGAUACCCCAGUAGUCCCUGUCUCUUAUAC